GAUGAACGCUGGCGGCGUGCUUAACACAUGCAAGUCGAACGGAAAGGCCAGUGCUUGCACUGGUACUCGAGUGGCGAACGGGUGAGUAACACGUGGGUGAUCUGCCCUGUACUUCGGGAUAAGCUUGGGAAACUGGGUCUAAUACCGGAUAGGAUAACUUUUUGGAUAUUGUUGUGGAAAGCUUUUGCGGUUUGGGAUGAGCUCGCGGCGUAUCAGCUUGUUGGUGGGGUAAUGGCCUACCAAGGCGUCGACGGGUAGCCGGCCUAAGUGAGUGUACGGCCGGUGUGGACCUGGGAGAGAGCCAGGACUCGGGAAGGAGGCAGCAGGGGGGAAUAUUGGACAAUGGGAGCAAGCGUGAUGCAGCGAGGCCGCGUGGGGGAUGAAGGCCUUCGGGUUGUAAGCUCCUUUCGCUAGGGACGAAGCUUUUUUGUGACGGUACCUGGAGAAGAAGCACCGGCUAACUACGUG
rnacentral:rRNA from 1 species